rnacentral:rRNA from 1 species
UGUAGUCAUAUGCUUGUCUCAAAGAUUAAGCCAUGCAUGUCUAAGUAUAAGCAAUCUAUACUGUGAAACUGCGAAUGGCUCAUUAAAUCAGUUAUCGUUUAUUUGAUAGUACCUUACUACUUGGAUAACCGUGGUAAUUCUAGAGCUAAUACAUGCUAAAAACCCCGACUUUUGGAGGGGUGUAUUUAUUAGAUAAAAAACCGAUGCCCUUCGGGGCUCCUUGGUGAUUCAUAAUAACUUAACGAAUCGCAUGGCCUUGUGCCGGCGAUGGUUCAUUCAAAUUUCUGCCCUAUCAACUUUCGAUGGCUAGGUCUUGGCUAACCAUGGUUUCAACGGGUAACGGGGAAUUAGGGUUCUAUUCCGGAGAGUGAGCCUGAGAAACGGCUAACACAUCCAAGGAAGGCAGCAGGCGCGCAAAUUACCCAAUCCCGACACGGGGAGGUAGUGACAAUAAAUACUGAUCCAGGGCUCUUUUGGGUCUUGGAAUUGGAAUGAGUACAAUUUAAAUCCCUUAACGAGGAACAAUUGGAGGGCAAGUCUGGUAAUCG